UCUAUGUGUGUGCUCUCACGCAGGGAGUA
rnacentral:sRNA from 1 species